CGCCAGACUCCUACGGGAGGCAGCAGUGGGGGAUAUUGCACAAUGGGGGGAACCCUGAUGCAGCGACGCCGCGUGGGUGAAGGAGCGUUUCGGCGCGUAAAGCCCUAUCGGCAGGGAAGAAGGAGGACGGUACCUGACUAAGAAGCCCCGGCUAACUACGUGCCAGCAGCCGCGGUAAUACGUAGGGGGCGAGCGUUAUCCGGAUUUAUUGGGCGUAAAGCGUGCGUAGGCGGUUUGUUAAGUCCAGAAUUAAAGCCCGAGGCUUAACCUCGGUUCGUUCUGGAAACUGGCAGACUAGAGUAUGGUAGAGGCAAAUGGAAUUCCUAGUGUAGCGGUGAAAUGCGUAGAUAUUAGGAGGAACACCAGUGGCGAAGGCGAUUUGCUGGGCCAUCACUGACGCUGAGGUACGAAAGCGUGGGGAGCAAAUAGGAUUAGAUACCCGGGUACC
rnacentral:rRNA from 1 species